rnacentral:rRNA from 1 species
UGGGGAAUUUUGGACAAUGGGGGAAACCCUGAUCCAGCCAUCCCGCGUGUGCGAUGAAGGCCUUCGGGUUGUAAAGCACUUUUUGCAGGAAAGAAACGUCAUGGGUUAAUACCCCGUGAAACUGACGGUACCUGCAGAAUAAGCACCGGCUAACUACGUGCCAGCAGCCGCGGUAAUACGUAGGGUGCAAGCGUUAAUCGGAAUUACUGGGCGUAAAGCGUGCGCAGGCGGUUCGGAAAGAAAGAUGUGAAAUCCCAGAGCUCAACUUUGGAACUGCAUUUUUAACUACCGGGCUAGAGUGUGUCAGAGGGAGGUGGAAUUCCGCGUGUAGCAGUGAAAUGCGUAGAUAUGCGGAGGAACACCGAUGGCGAAGGCAGCCUCCUGGGAUAACACUGACGCUCAUGCAAGAAAGCGUGGGGAGCAAACAGG